rnacentral:lncRNA from 10 species
AGUCCUGUGGCGCAACUCCCCGAACACGGAAAAAAAAGGCGCAGUGGGGGUUCUGCUGUGUUUGCAAGUGAGGGUCGUGAGUGCAACGGGCGCAAGGCAUUAAGGCCAGUGUGUUAGUGCGCGGGCAGGCUCGCGUGGUGCUGGGGUUGCUGUGUGAGCGGCCCUCGUGGCUCGGGAGGUGCUGUGUUUGCGCAGGCGUGCGCCCCUGGCGUCGGGACUGGUGAGAGCCACGGCGGGCGCGCGCGCGUGCGUGAUGGUGGGGGCGGUGCAGGGAGGGGUUUGCUACUGCGCGCAGGUUGUUAUCUAUUUCUGUGUUAUAUUUGAAAAUGUUCUAAUGAAAAGGAAAAUAAAUAAUUAAGGAAAGGCGACAAUAACAGAUAAAGGGGCACUGUCAGAAAUAUUUUGGCUUUCCGUACUGAUUUAAUUACUUUAAAAAUACACUUCCUACGUUUUCCUCCGUGCCAAAAUCCUAUCGUAAACCACAGCCCUCCAAUGAUUCAGAGCCAAACCCUUCCAUCGCCGCAUUAGCAACUCCAAAGGGAGGCUUCUUUCAAGUUCUCUAGUAUCGUCCUCCCUCCCCUCCUCCACACCUACCCCCUCCCUUCAAGGUUGCGUGCAGUUCUCUUGGCACAAAUACAAUUUUCCUGUGAGAAUAUCUAUCUACGACAGCCUUCCCCUCCGUUAGGGACUCCGGAUUUCUGUGGCGACUGAGGCGCUCUUACCUUUGCGUCCUGAUCUCCAAGCAAGCACACUGACCUUCUUCAGGCAAAUACGCACUGUUAAUUUUCCAGAAAGUUCUUGUACGCAACAAGUAUGGGAACCAGGAUUUGAACUUCACCUGCCUCUAGCCCAAGCCCCUAAUAGUACUCUGUUGUUUAACCAUGAUGACUUGUCUUUCCAAGCCUCAAAAUACAUUAGAAAUAUCUUGUUCCCUGCUUUGGCUAAUGUUGACUGGAGUGUCAAGAAGAGUGCAGGAAAGCAAACCAAGUAAGUGGAAAUAUUUCGAUGUUUCAUUCUCAUACCCUUCCUCAUCUCCAUUCUAUAAUAGCAUAUCACAUCAAGGCUUCUAAAUGUUUUCUUUCUUGUUUUUUAAUUCCCCAAAUAAUGUUCUCUUUACUCUGCAGUUGCCUUUUUUAUUUAUGUCUAAAUCUCUUUUUUUUUUUAACGGAAUUUCUCUCUGUCGCCCAGGCUGGAGUGAAGUGGCGCGAUCUCAGCUCACUGCAAUCUCAGCUCACUGCAAUCUCCGCCCUCCCCUCCACCCAACCCCAACCCUGGUUCAAGCAAUUCUCCCGCCUCAGCCUCCCGAGUAGCUGGGAUUA